AACCGAAACCGCGGGAGCUCGCACCGGAAGCGGGCUGAGAGGGCGGCUGGAGUCGAUCUCCGGGGCCGCCGACCGCAUGAACCUGACCGGGUAAUACCGGCGUAGGGAGGAAGGGCCAUGGCCGA
rnacentral:ncRNA from 1 species